rnacentral:rRNA from 1 species
CUGCAUGGUUGUCGUCAGCUCGUGCCGUGAGGUGCGGGUUAAGUCCCACUAACGAGCGCAACCCUACCCUUUAGUUGCCAUCAGGUUAAGCUGGGGACUCUAAAGGAACUGCCUGCGCAAGUAGUGAGGAAGGCGGGGAGUGACGUCAAAUCAGCACGGCCCUUACGUCCAGGGCUACACACGUGCUACAAUGGCCGAUACAGAGGGCAGCUACCUGGUGACAGGAUGCAAAUCUCCAAAGUCGGUCUCAGUUCGGAUCGGAGUCUGCAACCCGACUCCGUGAAGUUGGAUUCGCUAGUAAUCGCGCAUCAGCCAUGGCGCGGUGAAUACGUUCCCGGGCCUU